GGGUGCCCCGUGGCCGCCCCCGCCCCGCUUCGCAGCGAGACGGGCGGCGGGAAAAAGACCCGGCGCGAUGGGCGCCAAGGAACAGUGAUGUCGGAGAGCGUCGCGCAUCGGUUCCAUGCGCGCGGCGCGACCCUUCCAUACAUACGUCGACCUUUUACGACUCUCGGCAACGGAUAUCUUGGCUCUCGCAUCGAUGAAGAACGUAGCGAAAUGCGAUACUUGGUGUGAAUUGCAGAAUCCCGUGAACCAUCGAGUCUUUGAACGCAAGUUGCGCCCAAGGCCACCCGGCCGAGGGCACGCCUGCUUGGGCGUCACGCCUCGCGUCGCUCCGCGCGCCCGCCCCCGGCCUGGGGAGGCGGCGUGCGCGGAUGCGGAGACUGGCCCCCCGUGCCUAGCGGCGCGGCGGGCCGAAGUGCGGGCCGCCGGCCGGGACGGACGCGGCGAGUGGUGGACGGACACGUACGGCGCUCAGCGCCGCCUCCGCCCCCGGCCCCAGCGGCCCAUGCAAGGAACCCACGCCGUCGGGCGCGCGCGCCCCUCGGAACACGACCCCAGGUCAGGCGGGACCACCCGCUGAGCUUAAGCAUAUCAAUAAGCGGAGGAGAAG
rnacentral:rRNA from 1 species